rnacentral:rRNA from 1 species
AAUGAACGCUGGCGGCAUGCCUAACACAUGCAAGUCGAACGAACCCUUGGGGACCUUGGGCCCACGGGUUCGUAACGCGAGGGAACCUUCCCUCGUGGUCGGACUAACUCCCCGAAAGGGGUGCCAAUACCGGAUAAUGGCUUCUGCCGAAAGAUAUAUUGCAUCUGGUGGGUCCCGCGUUGGAUUAGAUAGUUGGUAGGGUAAAAGCCGACCAAGCCGACCAUCCGUAACUUGUUUGAGAGGAUGAUCAGCCACACUGGGACUGGGAAACGGCCCGGACUCCUCCGGGAGGCAGCAGUGGGGAAUAUUGGACAAUGGGCGAAAGCCUGAUCCAGCAAUGCCGCGUGAGUGAUGAAGGCCUUAGGGUUGUAAAGCUCUUUUAACCGGGAUGAUAAUGACAGUACCGGGAGAAUAAGCUCCGGCUAACUCCGUG